UACGUAGGGUGCGAGCGUUAAUCGGAAUUACUGGGCGUAAAGCGUGCGCGGGCGGUUUUGUAAGUCUGACGUGAAAUCCCCGGGCUUAACCUGGGAAUUGCGAUGGAGACUGCAAGGCUAGAAUCUGGCAGAGGGGGGUAGAAUUCCACGUGUAGCAGUGAAAUGCGUAGAGAUGUGGAGGAACACCGAUGGCGAAGGCAGCCCCCUGGGUCAAGAUUGACGCUCAUGCACGAAAGCGUGGGGAGCAAACAGG
rnacentral:rRNA from 1 species